UUUUGUUAUGGAAAACAUUAUUCCUCAAUUGAAUUCCUAUACUAGCCUACUCUGACUCUGUCUGAGCCUCAUAAUUCAUGUCUUUACUCAAAGGAGACCCUGCUGGAGUGUCUUAGGAAUAAUUUUAAAAAGGAAAGGUCUCCUUUGAUAAACUUGACGACGGUGCAGGAGAUGAAGAGAAAGUUUGGUGUCAGAAGACAAAGAAUUGUGGACCAUGUGCCUCUGGAGGACCCACCUGGACAUCAGAGAGCAAAAAAGUGCAGAGUGGGGGUACAGAUGUCUUCUGAUUAUGAGCCAACACAAGAGAUUAUGUUGGACCUUGAAGCAGUUGGGGAGGACUACCACAGCUUUCAAGAGCAUAUAAACGCCAUAAACAAUUAGUUGUGCCGUCGUCAGCCAGAUAUUAGUCAUAUAAUGGACAGGAUGAGGCAAACUGUCUAUAAGAGGGUAGAGCAAAUGGGAAAGCCAACUGAGGAGGUGAUGGAGAUGUUCCCAUUUCUUUGGGUGUCAGAGCU